UUUAAAUUUUUGGAUCCCACCACUGGGCGAGGGGACCCCUGCUGUAGCAAGGGUUCCGGGUCAACAGAGAAGCCUGAUGAUGCCUUAUUUUUUGUGCAACCCUUCUGACCCCAUCAGGGGAAUUGCUGAUGGGCAGAAAUGGGCAGGGAGUUGUGUGUUUAGUUGUGGCCGAGCACUUCAGAAGAGCUUUUUGUUUGCAUCUCAGGUGACAUGCGUUCUUUUACUAUUGAGCGCCCGUUUGAGCUGCACCCUUCCCCACACCAGCUUCUGGUUAUUAUCCUACAUACCUUUCCAGGGAACACUUUGUAACUAGGAAAUUGUUGGUUGCAUUGUUGAAAGGAUUCAUGGCCAGAAUCACAAAGAGAAAUGCAUCUUACCGUGCCAUUCUUCUGAAGACGUCAGCUAUAGCUGCAGGCAAAAUGUUAGGAGCAAAAGCUACCAGACCUUGACCACACAGCCUGGAAAGCCCACAACACCCAGGAAAUGGUUCAUUUUGAAGAGCAUCGUGGUUCAUCCCAAUCUGAAAGUAUUUUCUUCUCUUUGUCAGCAAGCGUCCAUCUUCCUCGCAUUGGCUAUGCCACCAAAGGUUUUAAUUGGUAUGGAACAGAGCGACUCAUUCGAAAAUACUUGGCCAGAAGAGGAAUCCCGACCUUUGUCUAUUACUUCCCUCGGAAUAAAGCAUCAACCUCGUCGCAGGUCUUUGCAUUGUCAGCACCAAAUCCUUAGCCCUGAAGAGGGUCCCCAUAACAGAAUAGCCUGUUUUCUUGUGCCUUUUUGUGAAUUGUUAAAAUGCAAUAAAAACCAUUGUAUGUUUCCA